rnacentral:rRNA from 1 species
AAGACCUUGCGCUUUUGGAGCGGCCGAKGUCUGAUUAGCUUGUUGGUGAGGUAAAAGCUUACCAAGGCUUCGAUCAGUAGCUGGUCUGAGAGGACGGCCAGCCACACUGGGACUGAGACACGGCCCAGACUCCUACGGGAGGCAGCAGUGGGGAAUUUUGGACAAUGGGGGCAACCCUGAUCCAGCCAUGCCGCGUGAGUGAAGAAGGCCUUCGGGUUGUAAAGCUCUUUCAGCCGGAACGAAACGGUUACGGUUAAUACCCGUGACUACUGACGGUACCGGAAGAAGAAGCACCGGCUAACUACGUGCCAGCAGCCGCGGUAAUACGUAGGGUGCAAGCGUUAAUCGGAAUUACUGGGCGUAAAGCGUGCGCAGGUGGUUUUGUAAGUCAGAUGUGAAAUCCCCGGGCUUAACCUGGGAACU